rnacentral:rRNA from 1 species
UUAGAGCCCGUUAAUGGGUGAUAGCGUGCCUUUUGUAGAAUGAACCGGCGAGUUACGAUUACGUGCGAGGUUAAGUUGAGAAGACGGAGCCGCAGCGAAAGCGAGUCUGAAUAGGGCGAAAUAGUACGUGGUCGUAGACCCGAAACCAGGUGAUCUACCCAUGUCCAGGAUGAAGGUGAGGUAACACUUACUGGAGGCCCGAACCCACGCACGUUGAAAAGUGCGGGGAUGAGGUGUGGGUAGCGGAGAAAUUCCAAUCGAACUUGGAGAUAGCUGGUUCUCUCCGAAAUAG